rnacentral:rRNA from 1 species
UAAAACGUAGGAGACAAACGUUAUCCGGAGUUACUGGGCGUAAAGGGCGUGCAGGCGGUCUGUUAAGUCUGGCGUGAAAGCUCUCGGCUAAACCGGGAGAGGUCGUUGGAUACUGAUGGACUAGAGGACGGUAGAGGCGUGUGGAAUUCCGGGUGUAGUGGUGAAAUGCGUAGAGAUCCGGAGGAACACCAGUGGCGAAGGCGACACGCUGGGCCGUACCUGACGCUAAGACGCGAAAGCGUGGGGAGCGAACA